rnacentral:tRNA from 1 species
AGCAGCGUGGCGCAGCGGAAGCGUGCUGGGCCCAUAACCCAGAGGUCCCUGGAUCGAAACCAAGCGCUGCUA